UGCCAUUUUGUAUGCAUUUGU
rnacentral:piRNA from 1 species